CGGGAUUGUAGUUUAAUAGGCAAGAGCACCGCCCUGUCAAGGCGGACGUUACGGGUUCGAGCCCCGUCAGUCCCAACGGAUCC
rnacentral:tRNA from 1 species